rnacentral:rRNA from 1 species
CCCUUAGACGUUCUGGGCCGCACGCGCGCUACACUGACGAAGGCAACGAGCUUUCCUUUACCGAAAGGUACGGGUAAUCUUUUGAAACUUCGUCGUGCUGGGGAUAGAUCCUUGCAAUUAUUGAUCUUAAACGAGGAAUUCCUAGUAAGCGCAAGUCAUCAACUUGCGUUGAUUACGUCCCUGCCCUUUGUACACACCGCCCGUCGCUACUACCGAUUGAAUGGUUUAGUGAGGCCUUCGGAUCCGCGACUCGUUUUGUGGAGAAGUUGGACAAACUCAGUCAUUUAGAGGAAGCAAAAGUCGUAACA